AGUGAACGCUGGCGGCGUGCCUAACACAUGCAAGUCGAACGAUGAAGUCCUUCGGGAUGGAUUAGUGGCGCACGGGUGAGUAUACCAUAGAUAAUGUACCUCUUAGUUCGGGAUAGCCACUGGAAACGGUGAUUAAUACCGGAUACUCCUUCUCAUUAUAAGAUGAGUCGGGAAAGUUUUUUCGCUAAGAGAUCAGUCUAUGUCCUAUCAGCUAGUUGGUGAGGUAAUGGCUCACCAAGGCUAUGACGGGUAUCUGGUUUGAGAGGAUGAUCAGACACACUGGAACUGAGACACGGUCCAGACUCCUACGGGAGGCAGCAGUGAGGAAUAUUGCACAAUGGAGGAAACUCUGAUGCAGCAACGCCGCGUGGAGGAUGACGCAUUUCGGUGUGUAAACUCCUUUUAAGAGGGAAGAUAAUGACGGUACCUCUUGAAUAAGCACCGGCUAACUCCGUGCCAGCCGCCGCCGUAAUAC
rnacentral:rRNA from 1 species